UUUGGUGGCGACCGGCGCACGGGUGCGUAACGCGUAUGUAACCUACCUAUAACAGGGGCAUAACACUGAGAAAUUGGUACUAAUUCCCCAUAAUAUUCGGAGAGGCAUCUCUCCGGGUUGAAAACUCCGGUGGUUAUAGAUGGACAUGCGUUGUAUUAGCUAGUUGGUGAGGUAACGGCUCACCAAGGCAACGAUACAUAGGGGGACUGAGAGGUUAACCCCCCACACUGGUACUGAGACACGGCCCAGACUCCUACGGGAGGCAGCAUG
rnacentral:rRNA from 1 species